rnacentral:tRNA from 1 species
GGCCCCUUAGCUCAGUUGGUUAGAGCGCCCGACUCAUAAUCGGUAGGUCCCCAGUUCAAGUCUGGGAGGGGCCACCA